GGGAGUAUAGUUCAGUGGCAGGAUGCUUACCUAGCAUGUAAGGCAUCAGGGGUUCAAUCCCCAGUGCUGCCA
rnacentral:tRNA from 1 species